rnacentral:rRNA from 1 species
UACGGGGGGAGCAAGCGUUGUUCGGAUUUACUGGGCGUAAAGGGCGCGUAGGCGGCCAGCACAAGUCAGUUGUGAAAUCUCCGAGCCUUAACUCGGAACGGUCAACUGAUACUGUGCGGCUAGAGUGCGGAAGGGGCAACUGGAAUUCUUGGUGUAGCGGUGAAAUGCGUAGAUAUCAAGAGGAACACCUGCGGCGAAAGCGGCGCACUGGGACGUGACUGACGCUGAGGCGCGAAAGCCCAGGGGAGCAAACGGG